GUACACUCCUACGGGAGGCAGCAGUGGGGAAUUUUGGACAAUGGGGGCAACCCUGAUCCAGCAAUGCCGCGUGAGUGAAGAAGGCCUUCGGGUUGUAAAGCUCUUUUGUCAGGGAAGAAACGGUGGUGGCGAAUAACUACUACUAAUGACGGUACCUGAAGAAUAAGCACCGGCUAACUACGUGCCAGCAGCCGCGGUAAUACGUAGGGUGCAAGCGUUAAUCGGAAUUACUGGGCGUAAAGCGUGCGCAGGCGGUUGUGUAAGUCAGAUGUGAAAUCCCCGGGCUCAACCUGGGAAUUGCAUUUGAGACUGCACGGCUAGAGUGUGUCAGAGGGGGGUAGAAUUCCACGUGUAGCAGUGAAAUGCGUAGAUAUGUGGAGGAAUACCGAUGGCGAAGGCAGCCCCCUGGGAUAACACUGACGCUCAUGCACGAAAGCGUGGGGAGCAAACAGGAUUAGAAACCCGAGUAGUCCCAUG
rnacentral:rRNA from 1 species